GACGAACGCUGGCGGCGUGCUUAACACAUGCAAGUCGAACGGAAAGGCCCUGCUUGCCGGGUACUCGAGUGGCGAACGGGUGAGUAACACGUGGGUGAUCUGCCCUGCACUUCGGGAUAAGCCUGGGAAACUGGGUCUAAUACCGGAUAGGAGCCAUUUUUAGUGUGAUGGUUGGAAAGUUUUUUCGGUGUAGGAUGAGCUCGCGGCCUAUCAGCUUGUUGGUGGGGUAAUGGCCUACCAAGGCGGCGACGGGUAGCCGGCCUGAGAGGGUGGACGGCCACAUUGGGACUGAGAUACGGCCCAGACGCCUACGGGAGGCAGCAGUGGGGAAGAUUGCACAAGGGGCGCAAGCCUGAUGCAGCGACGCCGCGUGGGGGAUGACGGCCUUCGGGUUGUAAACUCCUUUCGCUAGGGACGAAGCUUUUUGUGACGGUACCUAGAUAAGAAGCACCGGCUAACUACGUG
rnacentral:rRNA from 1 species